rnacentral:rRNA from 2 species
AAAUUGAAGAGUUUGAUCAUGGCUCAGAUUGAACGCUGGCGGCAGGCCUAACACAUGCAAGUCGAACGGUAACAGAAAGCAGCUUGCUGCUUUGCUGACGAGUGGCGGACGGGUGAGUAAUGUCUGGGAAACUGCCUGAUGGAGGGGGAUAACUACUGGAAACGGUAGCUAAUACCGCAUAACGUCGCAAGACCAAAGAGGGGGACCUUCGGGCCUCUUGCCAUCGGAUGUGCCCAGAUGGGAUUAGCUUGUUGGUGGGGUAACGGCUCACCAAGGCGACGAUC